rnacentral:lncRNA from 1 species
CAAACUUUCCACAUGUCCAGCUGACAGACCCUGCCCAUAAACCCCAAAAUAUCCAAGAAGUUUAUUAACCGAGGAAAUCUGCCAGGGAUUAUGUUUAGAACUCAUAUCCUGCAUGAAAGGACAUGAAAUUUGAACAUUACGCGGGGAAUACAGGUACCAACCAAGGGGCAUGUGCUUAGAUCUUUCG